CUUCUCUUCAGCCACUUUGCUUGGCUAAGGGCACAAGAGACUCACCACCUGAAGGACAACAUAGGAAAACACCACGUUCUCUUAAGCGGAUGCUUGUGAUUCUGAACACAAGAUAGGGAUGCGGCCACCUAGUUCCUGCUGUCAUUCUGAUACCAGCUCCUGACCACAACAGCAGCCACCUGGACUGUCUCACACUGCCCUGCCUGAGGGGAGGCUGGAACUGGUCCACAGAGGAUAGUGCUGACCAUCAACUAUGUGCUUGCAUGCUUGGAGCUGUUCCUGCAGAGUGCCGAGGGACUGGAUGCACCCUGAGAGACAGCAGAGUCCAGCAAGAUACCUUGGGGCUUGGGGCUCACAGGUCUGAAGUUGGAGCCUCUGCUUCAUCCUUCCAUCUGGGCUUCGUGGCAUCCACUCGGUUGCUCUAAGUCAAGCACACACUUUAUUCCCAUUCAGGGGCUGCUUGGGAUGCUGAGCGUGGAGACAGAGAGCCUCUCAUAGUCCCUGCAUCCUCUGUUCUCCAGGUUUCAGGACUCCAGGAUGCAGGCUGGACCAGCUCCUUUCUGAUGCAGCAGAAGAGCCCGAGGUGAAAUACCACAGCCUCUGAUCCUCCAAAAUCUGGACUUAUCCCAGGGUCUUCUCUCUGCAUGCCAGCUCUGUCCAAGGCCUGGCUUAGAGGCAUAACCAGGACCUAAUCUCACUUUCAACUGUAUGUGUCUGAACACACAUACAGGGGCUCACUCCUGCUUGCCUAGGGGAUAGGAAGAUCUCCCUAGGACUAUCACAUGGUCAUCUUUGCUGCCAAGAUUAAAUUAGUAUCUACUCAUGAGAAGAACAGUUUCCCCCUUUCCUCCUUCCAUUUUCUCUUUUCCCUCCUCUUCCUCUCUUCCUCCUUCCUCCCUCC